rnacentral:lncRNA from 1 species
CGGGCACAUACAAUAGAACAACCACAUGUGAAGUGAAUUAAAUGCAAUAAACGUAGUAAAAUAUAUUCAUGGUCUACUUCCAUACACGAUAUGUGCACAAUAUUGAGGCUUGUUUCGUUUAUUCAGCUAAAAAUAUAAAUACCCUCGUCGCUGAUACGUGACGUACAUGUUGGUAUAAUCUGUCGCAGGCAAAUGACGUCAUAAACAACCGUUCGUUUUGUUUCUGUCGCCGCAUUUAAAUCUUGGUGAAUCUCGGUGAAAGAAACACGGCCGAAUCAAAGACAAAAUAUAGUUACUCCCACAUUUCAACAAGCUAGACUUCUUCUCAAGUUUCGCCUUUAGUGUCAAAGAAGGUGGGGAUACAGCAGACGCGCAGCCUGUGGCCCAGCACGCUUCACUCUCCUCCCCUGCGCUAUGAGCAGAGGGCCAAUAUCGGAAUUACUUCUCCAGUCCUGGCCGUCCCAUAGCUCCUCCUGUCUACCAUAGAGCUCCUCAACACUACGCUGUUGACCAGAAUCGCUCGCAGAACUUUAACUCUGAGCGUUCUAGCUCCUUUCAACAACAACAAGCUGAAUUUCUAAGAGGCGUAGCUCAGCGGCACCAGAGUUCAGAGCUGCUGGACCAGGGCCCUCUGGCUAUUUGCCACAGUCAGGGCAA